AUACGGAGGACGCGAGCGUUAUCCGGAUUCAUUGGGUUUAAAGGGUGCGCAGGCGGCCGUGCAAGUCAGCGGUGAAAGCCCGGGGCUCAACCCCGGAAGUGCCGUUGAUACUGCGUGGCUGGAAUGCGGUCGAGGCGGGCGGAACGGGGCGUGUAGCGGUGGAAUGCGUAGAUAUGCCACAGAAAGCCGAUAGCGGAGGCAGCUCGCCAGGCCUGCAUUGACGCUCGGGCACGAAAGCGUGGGGAUCGAACAGGAUUAGAUACCCUGGUAGUCCACGCAGUAAACGAUGAUGACUAACUGCCGGCCCGUUGCGGGUCGGUGGCCAAGCGAAAGCGAUAAGUCAUCCACCUGGGGAGUACGACCGCAAGGUUGAAACUCAAAGGAAUUGGCGGGG
rnacentral:rRNA from 1 species